rnacentral:ncRNA from 2 species
CUGAGACGUAGAGGUGCAUUAAAUAUCAGUAGUAUUCGUUAGGGUGAUGCCGUUAAGCGAAUAUGAAAGGAUUUGGUGCCGAAGUGGUGGAGUUGAUCAAGGCUUGCCGCUGGGGCUGUCAUCGAAUAGAGGCAGCACUGCCAUAGUGCUUCUUAUCUGGAUUGAUAAGUGGAAGGUAUACCGAGAAUGGGUAUCACUAUGGAGCGCUACUGAUAGG